UACAGAGGGGGCAAGCGUUGUUCGGAAUUACUGGGCGUAAAGGGCGCGUAGGCGGCCCUCUAAGUCGAACGUGAAAUCCCUGGGCUCAACCCAGGAACUGCGUCCGAUACUGGGAGGCUUGAAUCCGGGAGAGGGAUGCGGAAUUCCAGGUGUAGCGGUGAAAUGCGUAGAUAUCAGGAGGAACACCUGCGGUGUAGACGGCUUACUGGACCAUAACUGACGCUGAGGCACGAAAGCGUGGGUAGCAAACAGG
rnacentral:rRNA from 1 species